CCCUUAGAUGUUCUGGGCCGCACGCGUGCUACACUGAUGCAUUCAGCAAGUAUACUUCCUUUGCCGAGAGGCCUGGGCAAUCUUGUAAACAUGCAUCGUGAUAGGGAUAGAUUUUUGCAAUUAUUAAUCUUUAACGAGGAAUUCCUAGUAAACGCAGAUCAUCAAUCUGCAUUGAUUACGUCCCUGCCCUUUGUACACACCGCCCGUCGCACCUACCGAUUGAAUGGUCCGGUGAAGCCUCAGGAUUAUGAACAAUGCCUUUGUUGGCAUUGUUUGUGAGAACUUGUCUAAACCUUAUCAUUUAGAGGAAGGUGAAGUCGUAACA
rnacentral:rRNA from 1 species